AUGUCUGUAACAAUACAAACAACAAAAAAGAUUCCCCCAGGAGUUCAGAGUUAAAGAAACCUCUGCACCCACAUGGAUCCUCACUUCAGAAUCAAGUUAUAAGUUACCAGAUGGAGAAGAAGGCAGAGAGCAGGCCCCCUGCCAGAAGCCCUAGGACAGUGCAGAAAACUGACUGUGGACGCCGCAGCUGGAGAACCUCAGCUCCUGGAAGAGUGAAUCUGCCCACACAUCGCUGCAGAUGUGUUUCCUAUCUUAAAGCACUGUGUUGCUGCUAUAUACUGUUCAAGUUGGUUCUUCUCUUCUUGGAGUUGAAAAGAAGCGUCUAUGAUGUAAGCUAGAGAUACGAAAAGACCGAUCACUUAAGGAAAUGUAGGAGUUACAGCCUGAAUUGAUUGUUACCUGCAAAAUUCUAAUGUUAAGUAUAUUCAACCAU